CCUACGGAGGGCAGCAGUGGGGAAUAUUGGACAAUGGGCGAAAGCCUGAUCCAGCCAUGCCGCGUGUGUGAAGAAGGCCUUCGGGUUGUAAAGCACUUUCAGUGGGGAAGAAAGCCUUGGGGCUAAUACCCUCGAGGAAGGACAUCACCCACAGAAGAAGCACCGGCUAACUCCGUGCCAGCAGCCGCGGUAAUACGGAGGGUGCGAGCGUUAAUCGGAAUUACUGGGCGUAAAGCGCGCGUAGGCGGUCUGAUAAGCCGGUUGUGAAAGCCCCGGGCUCAACCUGGGAACGGCAUCCGGAACUGUCAGGCUAGAGUGCAGGAGAGGAAGGUAGAAUUCCCGGUGUAGCGGUGAAAUGCGUAGAGAUCGGGAGGAAUACCAGUGGCGAAGGCGGCCUUCUGGACUGACACUGACGCUGAGGUGCGAAAGCGUGGGUAGCAAACAGGAUUAGAUACCCGAGUAGU
rnacentral:rRNA from 1 species